UACGGAGGGGGCUAGCGUUGUUCGGAAUUACUGGGCGUAAAGCGCACGUAGGCGGCUUUGCAAGUUAGAGGUGAAAGCCCGGGGCUCAACUCCGGAAUUGCCUUUAAAAACUGCAUCGCUAGAAUUGUGGAGAGGUAAGUGGAAUUCCGAGUGUAGAGGUGAAAUUCGUAGAUAUUCGGAAGAACACCAGUGGCGAAGGCGACUUACUGGACACAUAUUGACGCUGAGAGCGAAAGCGUGGGGAGCAAACAGG
rnacentral:rRNA from 1 species